rnacentral:lncRNA from 13 species
CAAAACAAUGCAGCCAGAUAUCUUAAAAGCAAAGCACAACAAAAGAAACAUUAUUUUAGAAUGAAAAGCAGAAGCAUAGCCCAAGAGAAAAUAACAAAGCCCUUAAGCUUUGGACAGACACCAAAGACCCUUGUUUCAUUUUUGGGCUGUCUUCAUUUCUUUUACAGUAAAACCAGCCUGUCUUCUUGUUACUCCAUUUCAGCCACAGCUAUUUUAGAAAUAAUUGUGUCACAUAAAUCUCUUCCUGGUAUCUGCUUUUGCUGUCCUCUUUCCCCAUCACAGAACAAAGAAAAUACUUUGAUGAAUUAAAAUAUAAAAUAAGGAAACAAACCAAGGUAUUUAUUUUUCUGGUCAUCAGUUAGUAAACACUUAUAUUUUCAUUAUCCAGUAAUAUACUUUAUGAUGUUACACUUUUUCCUUCUAUCUAGCUGUCAUUUAUAAGAGUCAAUUUUAGUGAUUAUAUAAAGUGAUGGAGAGCAGUCAAGCUGAAGGAUCAUCAAUAACUGUAAAUGAUUAAAAAGAGUGUUUACAGUAAGGCACUAGUUUCAUGACCUUUGUAACUGGUUACAUUUCUCCUUUGUGUCAGUGUGACUGUCUCUUGGUUGAUGGUAAUGUGCAGGGACUGCAAGGCCUGCGUGGGAUCAGUCAGGUCUGGUCAUGGCCUCAGGGUCCGGAAGGACAACUCAGAUUCUGGUCUUAUAGGCAUUCUUUCCCUCUGUGUUUCGGUCUGUGGAUGACAUGCUGCUGCGUACAAGAGCUUUCACAUUUAAUAGGAAAAAGGAGGGCUUCAGAAGGAUUCUACUAUCCAGUACAAAAAUAAAGAAUGUAGCCUGUUACUGU